UGCACAGGCCACAGACAGAGCGCAUGCAGGGGAUGAGGAGGACGCAGAGGUGGGCCUAACGGCCGCUCGAGAAGGCGGGGUCAGAGGCGAAGGGGCGUGGUCGGAAUCACACGGGCGUGGCCGAGUUUUCCCAAGAUUGGCCUAUAGUUUGCCAUAUCCAGAAUUGCGAUUCUUCUGGCUGUUCCUGCAUAAACUCAUUUUCUGGAUAAAGUAACUGGUGAAUUUGCCUUUUAAGUUCACAGUAGUAAAUGAAAGGAAUCCCCUGUGUACCACCAGGAACGGCCAUGUGAGGACGUAGCUAGAAGGCAGUCAUCUGCAAGCUAGGAAGAGAGCUCUCACCAGGAACCAAAUUGGCUGGCUCUUUGACCCUGGACU